UUCUCCUGGCUCCUCCCAGCCAGAGGCAGAGAGAGCUCAGAAGGUCAGAGAAGAACGACCCCGGGAGAUAAUGUGAAAAACAGCUGCUGGCCUUACAACACGUAUUACCUUGUUCCAAGCUCAGCUAAACACUUGGUUUAUCUGGCUCAGUUCUUUCCCCCUUUUACGCACAAGGAAGCUGAAGCUGGGAGAGGCAGGGGCCUUCCUUGCCCCGCUAGAAAGUGGGGCGGGAAGGGAACCAGGCCCGACCUCAGAGAAGGAAGAGGAAAAGACAGCCAUUCGCUUAGCAAAUACGUGCAUUUGCCCGUGGUGCCAGGCACCGGAACCUGGUGACACAGUCCCUGCAGCACUUGCAUUCCAGUGGGGAGAAGCAGAUGUCAGACCUCACAAACGAUGAUUUGAUUACAGGGGCUGCCUGGGGCUCUGAAGAGAAUUACGAAGUUGCUUGUCUCAAGGAGCACCGCAAGGGCCAUAGUGGCCUUUGGAGCUCUGCGGGGCAGAGACCACACAGUAGUCCUCUGACAGGAGCACAUAGUAGGUUUGUAGCAGCAAGUUUCCAGCUAAAAUGAAAUAGUCUUUUCUUUGGACCAGUGCAGCUUCUUACCAACCAAUCUGAGGUGUCCCAAAGCAGGAAAAGUCAGCUCAGCCUACCCCAGAAGCUUCUCUCAAGCAUGAAACCAGGCAGACUCCUCGCUCAGUCCUAAGAGCAGGAAAGAUGUGGAAGAAUGAGGCCAGGGAGGCCUUUCCAGUCUCAUUGACACAGCAGCAGAAGCUGUGGGCUCAGUCUGGUCCAGAACCAGCUCCCCCUGAUGCCUUUCGGGUCCUGCCUCAACAAGGAGGGGUCCAUACUGUGGCAGGAUGACAGCUCCUUGAGGACACGCAGCAGAUGGGACACUAACAUCCCAGCACAAUGGAUCACCCUGGACCUGCCCUGCCAGGCUGGUGGCCACCAAGCUUAUGGAGUUUGGAAAGCCCCUUUAAAAUAAAUAAAUAAAUAAAAGAAUAUAAAAAUAUCUUCCUUUUGCAAAUUUCACAAAACCACUGAUCAUGAGGACACAUGGCCGGGCCUGGGGAUGGCCCUGGAGCAGGAAGGGACUGAA